AUUGAACGCUGGCGGCAUGCCUUACACAUGCAAGUCGAACGGCAGCACGGGUGCUUGCACCUGGUGGCGAGUGGCGAACGGGUGAGUAAUACAUCGGAACAUGUCCUGUAGUGGGGGAUAGCCCGGCGAAAGCCGGAUUAAUACCGCAUACGAUCUACGGAUGAAAGCGGGGGACCUUCGGGCCUCGCGCUAUAGGGUUGGCCGAUAGCUGAUUAGCUAGUUGGUGGGGUAAAGGCCUACCAAGGCGACGAUCAGUAGCUGGUCUGAGAGGACGACCAGCCACACUGGGACUGAGACACGGCCCAGACUCCUACGGGAGGCAGCAGUGGGGAAUUUUGGACAAUGGGCGAAAGCCUGAUCCAGCAAUGCCGCGUGUGUGAAGAAGGCCUUCGGGUUGUAAAGCACUUUUGUCCGGAAAGAAAUCCUUGGCUCUAAUACAGUCGGGGGAUGACGGUACCGGAAGAAUAAGCACCGGCUAGCUACGUG
rnacentral:rRNA from 1 species